GAUGAACGCUGGCGGCGUGCCUAAUACAUGCAAGUCGAGCGAACUGAUUAGAAGCAUGCUUCUAUGACGUUAGCGGCGGACGGGUGAGUAACACGUGGGCAACCUGCCUGUAAGACUGGGAUAACUUCGGGAAACCGAAGCUAAUACCGGAUAGGAUCUUCUCCUUCAUGGGAGAUGAUUGAAAGAUGGUUUCGGCUAUCACUUACAGAUGGGCCCGCGGUGCAUUAGCUAGUUGGUGAGGUAACGGCUCACCAAGGCAACGAUGCAUAGCCGACCGGAGAGGGGGAUCGGCCACACUGGGACUGAGACACGGCCCAGACUCCUACGGGAGGCAGCAUUAGGGAAUCUUCCGCAAUGGACGAAAGUCUGACGGAGCAACGCCGCGUGAGUGAUGAAGGCUUUCGGGUCGUAAAACUCUGUUGUUAGGGAAGAACAAGUACAAGAGUAACUGCUUGUACCUUGACGGUGCCUAACCAGAAAGCCACGGCUAACUACGUGCCAGCAGCCGCAGUAA
rnacentral:rRNA from 1 species